GUCAAUUCAAAACCCCUGAGGAAAAGCAAAACAGAUAAUGCUCAUGAAGCUUAAUAAAAGCCUAGUCCUCUCUCUCCUACUUCUCUCCUGCUGGUUGAGAACGCUUGCUAUCUCUGCGCUUCCUGUUGGCUGUUGUGAACAUCCUUUUUUCUUGUGGAUUUUGACAAUCCUUUGAAGUCAUGAAUAUACAAGAGCAUGAAUAAGAGAAGAAAAGAUGGAAGAUAAAAAGCAGAAGGAUGCAGAGCAUAUCAAUAGCUGGGACCUGAAUUAGCACCAUAUGGAGCAGAGUUCUCUUCCAGCUAACCAAGGGCACUUCAUCACCAAAGCAACAAGAUGUGGAGCAUGAGCAGUUCAACCUUUGAAGAUAACUCAGACUAAUUUGGCCAGCCUCUCCGUCUGAGGGUCUGAGAUCAUAAGAAGGUUUGGGAAAAGAGAAAGUUGUCAUUAAAUUGACAUCAAACAACCAGAAGACAACUUGGGAAAAAGCAGGAAUUUAUGUCCUUCAGCUUUUGCUAAGAUAUUCAUGCCAUGAUAUUUGGCCUAUAUUCCCUUCCAAUUGAGGACCUCUUCUCAUGGAGAAAAAAGUUAAGAACAAGAGAAGAAAACUGCCUUGCUCAAGUACACAUAGGAUAAAACUAAGUGACUGAGCUGGAAUACCAACAGCAGCCUAAUAACUUUAAUUCAGUGAUUUUUCCACCAAAGACUCAACAGCAACUGAUAAGAAUUUGAAAUACCAGAGUAGCUUAACAAAGACUCUGAGAAGUCCUGCAAUAAGGAAGUAUCAUUAACUUUGUUGAACAUUUUUUACCAUUGACUCCAUGAUAUAGUUUGAAUAUUUGUCCCCACUCAAAUCCCAUGUUGAAUUGUAAUCCCCCAUUUUGGGAGUGGGGCCUGGUGGGAGGUGUUUGGGUCAUGGGGGCAGACACCUCAUGGCUUGGCACUGUACUUGCAACAGUGAGUGAGUUCUCAUGAGAUCUGGUUAACUGUUUGGCACCUCCUCCCUCCUCACUCCUACAAGAGAUGUGAAGGAGUGCCAUGUGAUGUGCAAGCUCCUACUUCGCCUUCUACCAUGAGUAAAAGCUCCCCGAGGCCUCCACAGAAAAUGAGCAGAUGCCCUUGUUAUGCUAGUACAGCCCACAGAACUGUGAGCCAAUUAAACUUCUCUUCUUUUUAAAUUACCCGGUCUCUGCUGUUUCCCUAUAAUAAUGCAAGAAUGGCCUAAUACACUCCCUUAUCUGCAUACCGUGUAUCUCCAUUUUAUAGAAGGAUGCUUUGUGACGUAUGCUAUAAGAAAUACUGCUCUAAAGAGUUUUUGUAGAUGAGAUGGCUAAAGUAUCACAGAAAUGGUAUUGUGAACAACCAUUCUGAAAUGGAUGGGCCUUGGAAAUAAUGAUCUAAAAAUUCAGAAACUAAAAUAUUUGUCCCAUGAAAUACUCUCUAAAUGAGUUCCAUGUCCAUGUAAAUUUAGGCAACAUUGCACAUUAUAUCCAUUUUCUUAGAGAGUAAACAUGCUGGAAAAAAAAACAGCGUUACUUUAUCUAAUUAAAUUUUAGAAGGUUUAUUUGAAUAUCAAAAUUCAUUUCCCCCCAGGAGUAAUGAUAAAUACUAGGGGAGCUAGUGUGAAAAGUGCUUUGGAAAAAUAUGAUGUGGUAGCAAGAAGAGAUUUAAGAUUCCAACCAAUUCAGAUUUAAUUUUUGGCUCUGCUACUUGCCAGAUGAGAUUUAUUUAUGUGGGAGUUUCUGAAGAUUCCCAUGGUAAAUAGUAUUCCUCUUCCCUGCUUAGGUUUUGAAGAAGUUGAAUAAAUAAUUAAAUGUAAAUGUUGAUAGCAUAAGAUGACCUUUAUCGCUAACAGAGGUCAGGUUUUAGGACAUAGCUAAAAGUCUGCUAAUGCUGGUGGACUUGCUCACACAGAAAGAACAC
rnacentral:lncRNA from 1 species